GUUGGCAAAGCUGGGGUGCUCCAGUUACUCUCCUCUUCCAAAUGUUAUUGAGGAGGCGGCUGUGUCUUGCAGAGGAUGUGCGCAGUGUCUGCCAGCUGUGCGGCAGUGGUGCUCAGCUCCUGGGCUUCGUGCUGAGCCCAGGCAGAGCUCAGUGCUGAAGUGAUGAGGAUAAGAUCCCAUCUUCGAUGAACUACUCGGGACCUUUCCCGUGUGCUCUGUGCCAGAGGUUUAACCUCUGCAGCCUGCGGGGUUUGCUCCUUGCCUGACCACCAGCACAGCAUGCAGGGAGCCUGGAUGCCACUCUCAAACUGCAAGAUACAUAAAAUAUCCCCAAAGGAUCAAAUCUCUUGCAUUGCUGAGAGAUGCUGUUGGGUGUCUGUUGUGCUAGAAAAGUUUCUAGUUUUAACUAGUUUGAGAUCACUGUGAAGUAAGAACAAAAUCAUAUGCGGAAUUAAGAUCCCAUUAGGGUUGGGUUUUCUCAAUUAAAAUGUCAAGUUUACAGCUGCUCACUUAGAGCAGGAAAUGCAUUUUGCCAAUUAAGAGUACGGUUGUGUCAUUUACUUCAUAAUUGUAAGACUGUGUUACUACACAUUAAAAAGUUAAUAAAACUUACCUAA